AGUGAACGCUGGCGGUAGGCCUAACACACGCAAGUCGAACGGCAGCACAGUAAGAGCUUGCUCUUACGGGUGGCGAGUGGCGGACGGGUGAGGAAUACAUCGGAAUCUACUUUUUCGUGGGGGAUAACGUAGGGAAACUUACGCUAAUACCUCAUACGACCUACGGGUGAAAGCAGGGGAUCUUCGGACCUUGCGCGAUUGAAUGAGCCGAUGUCGGAUUAGCUAGUUGGCGGGGUAAAGGCCCACCAAGGCGACGAUCCGUAGCUGGUCUGAGAGGAUGAUCAGCCACACUGGAACUGAGACACGGUCCAGACUCCUACGGGAGGCAGCAGUGGGGAAUAUUGGACAAUGGGCGCAAGCCUGAUCCAGCCAUACCGCGUGGGUGAAGAAGGCCUUCGGGUUGUAAAGCCCUUUUGUUGGGAAAGAAAAGCAGCAGGUUAAUACCCCGCUGUUCUGACGGUACCCAAAGAAUAAGCACCGGCUAACUUCGUG
rnacentral:rRNA from 1 species